rnacentral:rRNA from 1 species
AACUUUCAACAACGGAUCUCUUGGUUCUGGCAUCGAUGAAGAACGCAGCGAAAUGCGAUAAGUAAUGUGAAUUGCAGAAUUCAGUGAAUCAUCGAAUCUUUGAACGCACAUUGCGCUCCUUGGUAUUCCGAGGGGCAUGCCUGUUCGAGCGUCAUUAU